rnacentral:rRNA from 1 species
UACGUAGGGUGCAAGCGUUGUCCGGAAUUAUUGGGCGUAAAGAGCUCGUAGGCGGUCUGUCGCGUCGGCUGUGAAAUCCCGGAGCUCAACUCCGGGUCUGCAGUCGAUACGGGCAAACUGGAGUACUGCAGGGGAGACUGGAAUUCCUGGUGUAGCGGUGAAAUGCGCAGAUAUCAGGAGGAACACCGGUGGCGAAGGCGGGUCUCUGGACAGUUCCUGACACUGAGGCACGAAGGCCAGGGGAGCAAAACGGG